rnacentral:rRNA from 1 species
GACGAACGCUGGCGGCGUGCCUAAUACAUGCAAGUAGGACGCAGUUGCGAACGGGUGAGUAACGCGUAGGUAACUGCCUAUUAGAGGGGGAUAACUAUUGGAAAUGAUAGCUAAUACAGCAUACUAGUAGAUGGACCUACGUUGUAUUUGCUAGUAGGUAGGGUAAUGGCCUUCCUAGGCGACGAUACAUAGCCGACCUGGGAAGGUGAGCGGCCCCGCCGGGACGGGGACACGGCCCAGACUCCUACGGGAGGCAGCAGUUGGGGAACUUCGUCAAUGGGGGGAACCCUGACCGAGCCACGCCGCCUGAGUGAAGAAGGUUUUCGGAGCUUAAAGGUUUUUUUUGUAGGGAGCGGUACUUACCCAGGAAGCGCCGGCUAACUACGUGCCAGCAGCCGCGGUAAUUC